AACUGGUUGAUCCUGCCAGUAGUGAUAUGCUUGUCUCAAAGAUUAAGCCAUGUACGUGUAAGUACAAGCGAUACAAGAAAGCGAAACCGCAAAUGGCUCAUUAAAUCAGUUACGGUCCUCUUGGCGGUUGAGACUACUUGGAUAACUGCGGUAAUCCUAGAGCUAAUACAUGCACUGGAGCUCCGAUCCCGCGUGGGAGACGAGCGCUUUUAUUAGACCAAGACGUUCGCGCGGCAGUGACUGGUGACUCUGUAUAACCUAGGGCGGAUCGCACGGGCUCGUCCCGGCGACGCGUCUUGCGAGUGUCUGCUUUAUCAACUGUCGAUGGUAGGUCAUGCGCCUGCCAUGGUCGUCACGGGUGACGGGGAAUCAUUGUUCGCUUCCGGAGAGGGAGCCUGAGAAACGGCUACCACAUCCAAGGAAGGCAGUAGGCACGCAAAUUACCCACUCCCGGCCCGGGGAGGUAGUGACGAAAAAUAACGGUACGGGACUCUUUCGAGACCCCAUGAUCGUAAGGUAAAGAGUGUUCGAAAGGAACGAUUGGAGUUCAAGUCUGGUGUCAGCAGCUGCAAUAACUCCAGCUCCGAUAGCGUAAGCUAAAUUUGUUGCGGAUGAAAAGUUCGUAGUCGGAUCUCAGCCUGGGGCGCGUCAGCGCCCCUUCUGGUCUCGCGGGCUCUGGCCGUUUUCCGAACCGCGAUCUUAACCGGUCGCGGAGUCUGGUCAGUUUACCUUGAAGAAACUGAAGUGCUCAAUGCAGGCCUGUCGCCAGCACUAGGAUGCAUGAAAUAAUGCAAGAGGACCUCGGUUCUAUUGUGUUGGUUUUCGGAACCGGAGGUAAUGAUCGAUAGGAACAGACGGGAGCAUUCGUACUGAGACCCUAGAGGUGAAAUUCUCUCAGAGGUCAUGAAAGUCAGAGGUUCGAAGGCGAUCAGAUACCGCCGUAGUUCUGACCGUAAACUUUGCCUGCCAGCUAUCCGGUGCUGUUUGAGAAACGACACGCCGUAUGGUUGUGAAACUUAAAGGAAUUGACGAAAGGGAUGGAUUCUGCGGCUCAAUUUGAGUCAACACGGGAAACUCACCCGCUCCGGACACGGCGAGGAUAGACAGAUUAAUGGCUCUUUCUCGAUUCCGUGGGUGGUGGUGCAUAACCGUUUUCAGUUCGUGGGCAUGACUUGUCUGGUUGAUAACGAGCGAGACUCUUGCCUGCUAAAUAGGCUGUUCCGUGAUGUUUCACGGAAAGAAUCUUCGAGGAACAAGCAAUUUCGAGCCGCACGAAAAAGAGCAAAAACAGGUCAGUGAUGCCCUUAGAUGUCCGGGGCCGCACGCGCAAUACAAUGAAGGCGACAGCGUGUGCUUUUUUUCCUUUGCCGAGAGGUCCGGGCAACCCGAUAAAACGCCUACGUGCUGGGGAUAGGGACUGUAACUGGCCCCUUGAACGAGGAAUCUCCAGUAGGCUCGAGUCAUUAACUCGUGCCGACAGUGCCUGCUCUUUGUACACACUGCUCGUCGUUAAUACCGAUUGAAUGGUUCGGUGAGGUUUGCGGACCUGCGCCUCCGUUCCUUAAUGGACACGAGGUGUCAGAAAAGUGAUCGAACUCUAUUACUUAGAGGAAUUACAAGUUGUAAUAAGGCUUCCGUAGGUGAACCUGCGGAAGGAUCAUU